UAUUAUUAUUAGCCUAAAGAUAAAUAAUAAGUGAUCGUUGUAGUAUUCGAAAUCUGUCAUUUUCAUGUAUGAUAAUUGAUCUUGGAAUUAUAAAUAAUCGUUGCUUCGUUCUCGAAUGAAUAUUUCAAGUAAAAAAAAAAGGUAACACCAAAUAAAAAUUUAUAAUGUCCGGCAUAUCUCCGAAGUCCGCUAAAUUACUAUUAUACAAAUUUAUCAAAUCCUUACCUAUUACAAUUAGAGAAAAGUUCAAGCAGCCCGUUCAACGGUCGUGCUCGCACUCCAAGAAAGUCCGGUACACCAUCAGGGAAGACUAUGGAUGUUAUUUGUUUUCCUACACCAAAGCCACGAGCUUAAACUGGGUUUUUCCUAUACCAAAUUAAAUAAAUAAGUAAAUAAAUAUACAAAUAAUAAAAUUUAAUAAACAAAUAAAAUAUAAAAAAAAAAAGAGAGAGAGAGGGCAGAUACAUAGAAUCGUUUUUUUUUUCACACAACAUUAAAUGAUGCAUUAAUAGCUUUGCAGUAGAAAUCAUUCUCUGACAAAAUUUUGCAAGAUACGCCACUUGCCAUCCUAAUCCUUAAUCCCUAAGUAUGCCUAACCAUUUAGGCAUAUCACUUUCUUUCACUCACCCACAUCACCAUCACACGCCUCUUUCAAUAUAUCUCACCAUCCUAUUCUUCUCUCUCCCCACCACUUCGACACCACAAAUUUCAUAUAACACCAAGGAUUUCAGCAAGGAAGGGGAUAGGAGUAAGGGGUGGCAGCCAACAAGCCAAGAGGAUUCACCAAACUGAGGGUACCUUCGCAAGUAAAGUUGGAGCGAGAAUUUCAAGUUAAAGGAACUAAAUGAUCAAGGUUGAGCAGCGAAGUGGUGGAGGAAGUGCUAUUGAGACAAGACAUUUAAUUCAGUCAGAUUUUGACUCUCGGAGGUAUUUAUAGUGCUAAUAAAAAGUGCAUCAUCGGGUGACUCACAGAAGGCAGCUUUAGUCCAAGGACGUUCACCCGAUCGGGUGAUUUAAGCUCCCUAAUAUCCACCCGGCCGGGCAGGGUGACGCAAGAUAGAUUUGGUGGGCCUUUUUCUUGGGAAUUAGGCCUAAACUAUAAAUACCCAUUUUCUCAUUUUAUUCCUUAGUUUUUGCUGAAAUCAAAUACUUGUGAGAUUUGUUCCUCUUGAAGAGAGUUUCUAUCAAUUCCUAGAUUUAGGUUGCUUGAUUCAUCAAUUCUUAGUGAAGUAUGGAUCAAGUAGAGGUAUGCUUUGAGGAUUGUGGUUGCCUUGAAGAUGUAAUCAUGAAUGCAUGUUAGUUAUGUUGUAAGUGCCUUAGUUUACUUCAUCAAUGACUUUGUAUUCCAUUUUCCACAUUAUCCAAUGUUAAUGUUUCUUGUUCA